ensembl:lncRNA
GGAUUACUGCAAUUGCAUUUGCAGGAAUGGCUCUCAGUGGGGCCCCAGCCUCCAAGAGGCAACUAGUUACACCAGGAUAAUGGCUAGAUUGCUUUGAGUCUCUUCUGCAGGGGAAUCAAAGUUAGAGAAGAUACAAGAAUGGAAGCAGAAUCCAGAAAGAGGGAGGAAGGGGCCACAAGCCAAGGGACCAAGGUGGCUUCUAGAAGCCAGAGAAGUAAGGACUCGGAUGCUCCUGAGAGUCUCCAGAGAAACCACAGCCAUGCCCACACUGAUUUUAGUCCAGUAAAAGUGACUGUCGCCUUCUGACCUCCUGAACUGUAAGUUAAAUAAUUGUCAUUGUUUUAAGUCAUUAAAUUCAUGGUAGUUUGUUACAGCGAC